rnacentral:rRNA from 1 species
AUCGGGAGAGGUCAGAGGUACUCCUCGGGGUAGGGGUGAAAUCCCUGGUAAAUCCUAGGAGGACCACCUGUGGCGAAGGCGUACUGACUAGAACGAAUCUGACGGUGAGGAACGAAAGCUAGGGGCGCGAACCGGAUUAGAUACCCGGGUAGUCCUAGCCGUAAACUAUGCGGACUUGGUGUGAGGGUGGCUUUGAGCCGUCCUGGUGCCGAAGGGAAGCUGUUAAGUCCGUCGCCUGGGAAGUACGGUCGCAAGACUGAAACUUAAAGGAAUUGGCGGGGAGCACCACAACGCGUGGAGCCUGCGGUUUAAUUGGAUUCAACGCCGGAGAUCUCACCAGCGGCGACAGCAGUAUGAUGACCAGGUUGAUGACUUUGUUUGACCAAGCUGAGUAGAGGUGCAUGG